rnacentral:lncRNA from 1 species
AUGUUGAUGCCUAAGAAGAAUCGGAUUGCCAUCUAUGAACUCCUUUUUAAGAAAAGUGUGAUGGUGACCAGAAAAGAUGUCCACAUGCCCAAACACCCAAGCUGGCAGACAAGAAUGUGCCCAAGCUUCAUGUAAUGAAAGCCAUCCAGUCUCUCAAGUCUUGAGGCUACGUGAAGGAGCCGUUUGCUUGGAGUCAUUUCUACUGGUACCUUACCAGUGAGGGUAUCCACUAUCUCCGAGCUUACCUGCACCACCCUCCGGAGAUCAUGCCCGCCACCCUGCACUGCAGCCAUCCUGAGACUGGCAGGCCUUGGCCCAAAGGUCCAGAGGGUGAGCAGCCUGCAAGAUUCAUUCACAAGAGGGCAGGCAAAGAGAGACACCUACAGAAAGAGUGAUUUGCCCCUGGAGCUGACAAGAACGCUGAGGUUGGGGCUGGCACAGCAACUGAAUUCCAGUUUAGAGGCGGCUUUGGUCGUGGACAUGGUCAGACACCUCAGUGA